rnacentral:rRNA from 1 species
AACGAACGCUGGCGGCAGGCUUAACACAUGCAAGUCGAACGCCCCUUCACGGGGGAGUGGCAGACGGGUGAGUAACACGUGGGAACAUACCCUUCGGUUCGGAACAACGUUUGGAAACGGACGCUAAUACCGGAUACGGCCUUUUGGGCGAAAGAUUGAUCGCCGAAGGAUUGGCCCGCGUUCGAUUAGCUGGAUGGCGGGGUAACGGCCCACCAUGGCGACGAUCGAUAGCUGGUCUGAGAGGAUGGCCAGCCACAUUGGGACUGAGACACGGCCCAAACUCCUACGGGAGGCAGCAGUGGGGAAUAUUGGACAAUGGGCGCAAGCCUGAUCCAGCCAUGCCGCGUGAGUGAUGACGGCCUUAGGGUUGUAAAGCUCUUUCGCACGCGACGAUAAUGACGGUAGCGUGAGAAGAAGCCCCGGCUAACUUCGUGCCAGCCGCCGCGGUAACAC